rnacentral:rRNA from 1 species
GGGUUGUGAGGUUAAGCGACUAAGCGUACACGGUGGAUGCCCUGGCAGUCAGAGGCGAUGAAGGACGUGCUAAUCUGCGAUAAGCGCCGGUAAGGUGAUAUGAACCGUUAUAACCGGCGAUUUCCGAAUGGGGAAACCCAGUGUGACUCGUCACACUAUCAUUAACUGAAUCCAUAGGUUAAUGAGGCGAACCGGGGGAACUGAAACAUCUAAGUACCCCGAGGAAAAGAAAUCAACCGAGAUUCCCCCAGUAGCGGCGAGCGAACGGGGAGGAGCCCAGAGCCUGAAUCAGCAUGUGUGUUAGUGGAAGCGUCUGGAAAGGCGCGCGAUACAGGGUGACAGCCCCGUACACAAAAGCGCAUGUGCUGUGAGCUCGAUGAGUAGGGCGGGACACGUGGUAUCCUGUCUGAAUAUGGGGGGACCAUCCUCCAAGGCUAAAUACUCCUGACUGACCGAUAGUGAACCAGUACCGUGAGGGAAAGGCGAAAAGAACCCCGGCGAGGGGAGUGAAAAAGAACCUGAAACCGUGUACGUACAAGCAGUGGGAGCACAGGUUUACCUGUGUGACUGCGUACCUUUUGUAUAAUGGGUCAGCGACUUAUAUUCUGUAGCAAGGUUAACCGUAUAGGGGAGCCGGAGGGAAACCGAGUCUUAAUUGGGCGUUAAGUUGCAGGGUAUAGACCCGAAACCCGGUGAUCUAGCCAUGGGCAGGUUGAAGGUUGGGUAACACU